GACGAACGCUGGCGGCGUGCUUAACACAUGCAAGUCGAACGGAAAGGCCCCUUUCGUGGUCCUCGAGUGUCAAACGGGUGCGUAACACGAGCGUAACCUUCCCUUACCUUCGGGAUUACUUCAGCUUACUGGAGCCAAUACUGGUACGGAAUCCUUUCUUGAUGGGCGGGGUUGGAAAGUUUCGGCGGUUUUUGCUGUCAUCUCGGCUUAUCUGCUUGCUGGUGUGGUGGUGGCUUACCAAGGCUUGUACGGGUGGCCGGACUGUGAGGGCGACCGGCCAUAUUGGGACUGAGAUACGGCCCAGACUGCUACGGGAGGCAGCAGUGGGGAAUAUUGCACGAUGGGCGGAAGGCUGAUGAAGCAACGCCGCGUGCGGGAUGACGGCCUUCGGGUUGAAAACCGCUUUCAGCAGGGGCGAAGCUUGUGGUGACGGUACCUGCAGAAGAAGCACCGGCUAACUACGUG
rnacentral:rRNA from 1 species